AGAUUAAGUUAUUAAGGGCGCACGGUGGAUGCCUUGGCACUAGAAGCCGACGAAGGACGUUACUAACGACGAUAUGCUUUGGGUAGCUGUAAGUAAGCGUUGAUCCAGAGAUUUCCGAAUGGGGGAACCCAGCACGAGUUAUGUCGUGUUAUCGACAAGUGAAUUCAUAGCUUGUCAGAAGGCAGACCCGGAGAACUGAAACAUCUUAGUACCCGGAGGAAGAGAAAGAAAAAUCGAUUCCCUGAGUAGCGGCGAGCGAAACGGGAAGAGCCCAAACCAAUAAGCUUGCUUAUUGGGGUUGUAGGACACUCUAUACGGAGUUACAAAGGAAUAUAUUAGACGAAUCAUCUGGAAAGUUGAAUCAAAGAAGGUAAUAAUCCUGUAGUUGAAAAUAUAUUCUCUCUUGAGUGGAUCCUGAGUACGACGGAGCACGUGAAAUUCCGUCGGAAUCUGGGAGGACCAUCUCCUAAGGCUAAAUACUCUCUAGUGACCGAUAGUGAACCAGUACCGUGAGGGAAAGGUGAAAAGUACCCCGGAAGGGGAGUGAAAGAGAACUUGAAACCGUGUGCUUACAAGUAGUCAGAGCCCGUUAAUGGGUGAUGGCGUGCCUUUUGUAGAAUGAACCGGCGAGUUACGAUCUGAUGCAAGGUUAAGCAGGAGAUGUGGAGCCGUAGCGAAAGCGAGUCUGAAUAGGGCGUUGAGUAUUUGGUCGUAGACCCGAAACCAGGUGAUCUACCCAUGGUCAGGUUGAAGUUCAGGUAACACUGAAUGGAGGACCGAACCGACUUACGUUGAAAAGUGAGCGGAUGAACUGUGGGUAGCGGAGAAAUUCCAAUCGAACUUGGAGAUAGCUGGUUCUCUCCGAAAUAGCUUUAGGGCUAGCCUCAAGUGAUGAUUAUUGGAGGUAGAGCACUGUUUGGACGAGGGGCCCCUCUCGGGUUACCGAAUUCAGACAAACUCCGAAUGCCAAUUAAUUUAACUUGGGAGUCAGAACAUGGGUGAUAAGGUCCGUGUUCGAAAGGGAAACAGCCCAGACCACCAGCUAAGGUCCCAAAAUAUAUGUUAAGUGGAAAAGGAUGUGGCGUUGCCCAGACAACUAGGAUGUUGGCUUAGAAGCAGCCAUCAUUUAAAGAGUGCGUAAUAGCUCACUAGUCGAGUGACACUGCGCCGAAAAUGUACCGGGGCUAAACAUAUUACCGAAGCUGUGGAUUGUCCGUAGGACAAUGGUAGGAGAGCGUUCUAAGGGCGUUGAAGCAUGAUCGCAAGGACAUGUGGAGCGCUUAGAAGUGAGAAUGCCGGUGUGAGUAGCGAAAGACGGGUGAGAAUCCCGUCCACCGAUUGACUAAGGUUUCCAGAGGAAGGCUCGUCCGCUCUGGGUUAGUCGGGUCCUAAGCUGAGGCCGACAGGCGUAGGCGAUGGAUAACAGGUUGAUAUUCCUGUACCACCUAGCAUCGUUUUAAUCGAUGGGGGGACGCAGUAGGAUAGGCGAAGCGUACGAUUGGAUUGUACGUCCANNNNNNNNNNNNNNNNNNNNNNNNNNNNNNNNNNNNNNNNNNNNNNNNNNNNNNNNNNNNNNNNNNNNNNNNNNNNNNNNNNNNNNNNNNNNNNNNNGGUUAGCUUCUGCGAAGCUACGAAUCGAAGCCCCAGUAAACGGCGGCCGUAACUAUAACGGUCCUAAGGUAGCGAAAUUCCUUGUCGGGUAAGUUCCGACCCGCACGAAAGGCGUAACGAUUUGGGCACUGUCUCAACGAGAGACUCGGUGAAAUCAUAGUACCUGUGAAGAUGCAGGUUACCCGCGACAGGACGGAAAGACCCCGUGGAGCUUUACUGUAGCCUGAUAUUGAAAUUCGGCACAGCUUGUACAGGAUAGGUAGGAGCCUUUGAAACGUGAGCGCUAGCUUACGUGGAGGCGCUGGUGGGAUACUACCCUAGCUGUGUUGGCUUUCUAACCCGCACCACUUAUCGUGGUGGGAGACAGUGUCAGGCGGGCAGUUUGACUGGGGCGGUCGCCUCCUAAAAGGUAACGGAGGCGCUCAAAGGUUCCCUCAGAAUGGUUGGAAAUCAUUCAUAGAGUGUAAAGGCAUAAGGGAGCUUGACUGCGAGACCUACAAGUCGAGCAGGGUCGAAAGACGGACUUAGUGAUCCGGUGGUUCCGCAUGGAAGGGCCAUCGCUCAACGGAUAAAAGCUACCCCGGGGAUAACAGGCUUAUCUCCCCCAAGAGUUCACAUCGACGGGGAGGUUUGGCACCUCGAUGUCGGCUCAUCGCAUCCUGGGGCUGUAGUCGGUCCCAAGGGUUGGGCUGUUCGCCCAUUAAAGCGGUACGCGAGCUGGGUUCAGAACGUCGUGAGACAGUUCGGUCCCUAUCCGUCGUGGGCGUAGGAAAUUUGAGAGGAGCUGUCCUUAGUACGAGAGGACCGGGAUGGACAUACCUCUGGUGUACCAGUUGUCGUGCCAACGGCAUAGCUGGGUAGCUAUGUAUGGACGGGAUAAGUGCUGAAAGCAUCUAAGCAUGAAGCCCCCCUCAAGAUGAGAUUUCCCAACUUCGGUUAUAAGAUCCCUCAAAGAUGAUGAGGUUAAUAGGUUCGAGGUGGAAGCGUGGUGACACGUGGAGCUGACGAAUACUAAUCGAUCGAAGACUUAAUCAAUUU
rnacentral:rRNA from 1 species